rnacentral:rRNA from 1 species
AUUGAACGCUGGCGGCAGGCUUAACACAUGCAAGUCGAACGAUGAAGAUAUAGCUUGCUAUAUCGGAUUAGUGGCGGACGGGUGAGUAACGCUUAGGAAUCUACCUUUUAGCGGGGGAUAGCUCGGGGAAACUCGAAUUAAUACCGCAUAAUUUCUACGGAAUAAAGAGGGCUUUUAGCUCUCACUAGAAGAUGAGCCUAAGUAAGAUUAGCUAGUUGGUGGGGUAAAAGCCUACCAAGGCGACGAUCUUUAGCUGGUCUGAGAGGAUGAUCAGCCACACUGGGACUGAGACACGGCCCAGACUCCUACGGGAGGCAGCAGUGGGGAAUAUUGGACAAUGGGGGCAACCCUGAUCCAGCCAUGCCGCGUGUGUGAAGAAGGCCUUUUGGUUGUAAAGCACUUUAAGCAGUGAAGAAGACCUAUUGGUUAAUACCCAAUAGCGAUGACAUUAACUGCAGAAUAAGCACCGGCUAACUCUGUGCCAGCAGCCGCGGUAAUACAGAGGGUGCAAGCGUUAAUCGGAAUUACUGGGCGUAAAGCGAGCGUAGGUGGUUAAAUAAGUCAGAUGUGAAAGCCCUGGGCUCAACCUAGGAACGGCAUCUGAAACUAUUUAACUAGAGUAGGUGAGAGGGAAGUAGAAUUUCAGGUGUAGCGGUGAAAUGCGUAGAGAUCUGAAGGAAUACCGAUGGCGAAGGCAGCUUCCUGGCAUCAUACUGACACUGAGGCUCGAAAGCGUGGGUAGCAAACAGG